rnacentral:lncRNA from 1 species
AGUGGUGCCCAAUGGCGACCCAACGACGCAGUGCCACAGUGGUGACAUAGUAGUGCCCCAGUGGUGCCCACUCGUGCCCCAGUAGUGCCCCAAUGGUGCCCCAGUGGCGCCCCCUGGUGCCGGUGGCAGCCCUUAGCGCUCAGCCACGGCUACGCGCGCUGGACGGACAUCCAGAACGACGGCGCCUUCGGGGUGAUCAACGAGCCCUUCAAGGGCGAGGCGUCCAAAGGGAACUUCCUGGAGAUGAAGAACAAGUUCCUCGCACGCCGCUUCAAGGUGAGCGCACGGCGGGGGGGUGGUGGUGUUUGCACGAGGGAUUUGCACCAGGGAGUCGCAAAGGGUUGCGUUUGCACGAGGGCGGAGUCUCACGAGGCUGGGUUGUAAGGGUGUAAGGGAGUUGUGCUGGAGUUGUGUUUGCACAAGGGAGUCACAAAGGGUUGUGUUUGCACGAGGGCUGAGACUCACGAGGCUGGGUUGUAAGGGCGUAAGGGAGU